rnacentral:lncRNA from 1 species
AAGAUGAGGUUCCUGAGCUUCCAGUAGGCGACUGACUGCCCAAGAGACCCAGGGCUCCGCAAGGAGACGGCGCAGGUGUCGGGGCUCCCCGCAGGCCGGGAAAAAGUGUCCGAACGCCUCGUGGACUGCAGCGGGGGAAAUGUCCCUUAAAAGUGCGACGAAGUGGGGAAGAAGGUGUAAUUACUAUUAUCAGCAUCUAGAAAGCAUCAUGAAUUUGCUGGAGUACUUCCUAGCACUGACCUCCUUCAUUCUGCGUUGUUCUUACUGGAUCUUUCCAUCAGCCAACAAUAUGGAAGUACCAAUACAAGGUCAAAUCAUUCCUGGAUUCAUCUGGAGUUGCUUAAAAGUUAAAUCAUUGGAAUUUUUGAUGAUACCUUUUCUAUAUGGAUUACAAUUUGAUCGCUGGGAAUUCUCCACCUUAAAGAAGUACCCUCAGGUGACUACAGAUGUGUUAACACCCAGCAUGUUCCGGUAGGAGACUUUCUGGAUGGGGAAGAUUUCCAGGUGUGAAUCAUGGCAAUACAGUGAAAGACAGUGAUUUACUGCUUUUGAGGGCGUGCAUGUAUAUGAUUAACGGAUGGAAGUGCAGGACUCCAAGAUUUACUUCCUUCCCUUUCCAGCAGAAUUACCUGAGACGAGUAAAAUCUACUGGUGGAGUCACUCCAUUAUUCUUAUCUGUGGAGAUCUAGAUCUUGAUUUGAAAGUUUCUGAGAAAAUCUUCAGCUCAGACUUGAGGGUCAACUUUACCAGCUGAAGGAUCUGCAUUUACUGCUCAACCACAUCUAAUUUGAUGUCCUCUGCAGAUUUAAAAUGUGUGCCUUCUUUUCCGUCACCAAGUCAUCCCUGGGUUACUACUGAACAUCCUUCUCAAUUCCCCCCGACCCAUGGAUGGCUGUUCUCCAUUGUCUGUUUCACCAGAUGUCCUCAAAACAAACAGACAGAAGAAGGAAGUGGCUAAUGACCCAAUCUAAUCUAGGUGGGAGAGAAAGUAAA